rnacentral:rRNA from 1 species
UACGGAGGGUGCGAGCGUUAAUCGGAAUUACUGGGCGUAAAGCGCGCGUAGGCGGUUGAGUCAGUUGGAUGUGAAAGCCCAGGGCUUAACCUUGGAACGGCAUCCAAUACUGCUUGGCUAGAGUACGGUAGAGGAGAGUAGAAUUUCCGGUGUAGCGGUGAAAUGCGUAGAGAUCGGAAGGAAUAUCAGUGGCGAAGGCGACUCUCUGGACUGAUACUGACGCUGAGGUGCGAAAGCGUGGGGAGCAAACAGG